rfam:Sugiyamaella lignohabitans strain CBS 10342 mitochondrion genome.
AGGGUAUUAGCUUAAUUGGCAAAGCGACUAUCUUACACAUAGUAGAGUGGUAGUUCAAAUCUAUCAUACCCCA